UACGAAGGGGGCUAGCGUUGCUCGGAAUCACUGGGCGUAAAGCGCACGUAGGUGGAUCGCUAAGUCAGGGGUGAAAUCCUGGAGCUCAACUCCAGAACUGCCUUUGAUACUGGCAAUCUCGAGUCCGGGAGAGGUGAGUGGAACUGCGAGUGUAGAGGUGAAAUUCGUAGAUAUUCGCAAGAACACCAGUGGCGAAGGCGGCUCACUGGCCCGGUACUGACGCUGAGGUGCGAAAGCGUGGGGAGCAAACAGGG
rnacentral:rRNA from 1 species